rnacentral:rRNA from 1 species
GCAUAUCAAUAAGCGGAGGAAAAGAAACCAACAGGGGAUUGCCUCAGUAACGGCGAGUGAAGCGGCAAGAGCUCAAAUUUGAAAGCUGGCUCCUUCGGGGUCCGCAUUGUAAUUUGCAGAGGAUGCUUCGGGAGCGGUCCCCAUCUAAGUGCCCUGGAACGGGACGUCAUAGAGGGUGAGAAUCCCGUAUGGGAUGGGGUGUCCGCGCCCGUGUGAAGCUCCUUCGACGAGUCGAGUUGUUUGGGAAUGCAGCUCUAAAUGGGUGGUAAAUUUCAUCUAAAGCUAAAUAUUGGCCGGAGACCGAUAGCGCACAAGUAGAGUGAUCGAAAGAUGAAAAGCACUUUGAAAAGAGAGUUAAAAAGCACGUGAAAUUGUUGAAAGGGAAGCGCUUGCGACCAGACUCGCUCGCGGGGUUCAGCCGGCAUUCGUGCCGGUGUACUUCCCCGCGGGCGGGCCAGCGUCGGUUUGGGCGGUCGGUCAAAGGCCCUUGGAAGGUAACGCCCCCCGGGGCGUCUUAUAGCCAAGGGUGCAAUGCGGCCUGCCUGGACCGAGGAACGCGCUUCGGCUCGGACGCUGGCAUAAUGGUCGUAAGCGACCCGUCUUGAAACACGGACCAAGGAGUCUAACAUCUACGCGAGUGUUCGGGUGUCAAACCCGUGCGCGCAGUGAAAGCGAACGGAGGUGGGAACCCUUUGGGUGCACCAUCGACCGAUCCUGAUGUCUUCGGAUGGAUUUGAGUAAGAGCGUAGCUGUUGGGACCCGA